UUAUGGCCAUAUCAUGCUGAAACACCAAUUCUCAUAUGAAUACUGAAGUUAAGCAAUAUUGAGCCUGGUCAGUACCUAGAUGAGUGACUGCUUGGGAAUAGCAGGUGUUGUAAG